rnacentral:rRNA from 1 species
AUUGAACGCUGGCGGCAGGCCUAACACAUGCAAGUCGAACGAGUGGCGGACGGGUGAGUAAUGUCUGGGAACCUGCCUGAUGGAGGGGGAUAACUACUGGUAACGGUAGCUAAUACCGCAUACCAUCGGAUGUGCCCAGAUGGGUUUAGCUUGUAGGUGGGGUAACGGCUCACCUAGGCGACGAUCCCUAGCUGGUCUGAGAGGAUGACAAGAGACACUGGAACUGAGACACGGUCCAGACUCCUACGGGAGGCAGCAGUGGGGAAUAUUGGACAAUGGGCGCAAGCCUGAUGCAGCCAUGCCGCGUGUAUGAAGAAGGCCUUCGGGUUGUAAAGGACUUUCAGCGGGGAGGCGUUACCCGCAGAAGAAGCACCGGCUAACUCCGUGCCAGCAGCCGCGGUAAUUC